rfam:Salmo salar isolate Sally breed double haploid chromosome ssa06, whole genome shotgun sequence.
UGCGCACAUGACUGCAAGUCGCUUUGGAUAAAAGUGUCUGCUAAAUGGCAAAAA